UGCCCUGUUUGUACCUCGCAUGCGUACGUCAGCGGAGGAUGAGUAAUGCCUAGGAAUCUGCAUGGUAGUGGGGGAUAACGUCCGGAAACGGGCGCUAAUACCGCAUACGUCCUGAGGGAGAAGUGGGGGAUCUUCGGACCUCACGCUAUCAGAUGAGCCUAUGUCGGAUUAGCUAGUUGGUGGGGUAAAGGCCUACCAAGGCGACGAUCCAUAACUGGUCUGAGAGGAUGAUCAUUCACACUGGAACUGACACACAGUCCAUACUCCUACGGGAGGCAGCCGUGGGGAAUAUUGGACAAUGGGCCAAAGCCUGAUCCAGCCAUGCCGCGUGUGUGAAGAAGGUCUUCGGAUUGUAAAGCACUUUAAGUUGGGAGGAAGGGCAGUAAGUUAAUACCUUGCUGUUUUGACGUUACCAACAUAAUAAGCACCGGCUAACUUCGUGCCAGCAGCCGCGGUAAUACGAACGGUGCAAGCGUUAAUCGGAAUUACUGGGCGUAAAGCGCGCGUAGGUGGUUCAGCAAGUUGGAUGUGAAAUCCCCGGGCUCAACCUGGGAACUGCAUCCAAAACUACUGAGCUAGAGUACGGUAGAGGGUGGUGGAAUUACCUGUGUAGCGGUGAAAUGCGUAGAUAUAGGAAGGAACACCAGUGGCGAAGGCGACCACCUGGACAGAUACUGAUACUCAGAUGCUGCACU
rnacentral:rRNA from 1 species